rnacentral:rRNA from 1 species
GAGUUUGAUCCUGGCUCAGGAUGAACGCUGGCGGCGUGCCUAAUACAUGCAAGUCGAGCGAACGGACGAGAAGCUUGCUUCUCUGAUGUUAGCGGCGGACGGGUGAGUAACACGUGGAUAACCUACCUAUAAGACUGGGAUAACUUCGGGAAACCGGAGCUAAUACCGGAUAAUAUUUUGAACCGCAUGGUUCAAAAGUGAAAGACGGUCUUGCUGUCACUUAUAGAUGGAUCCGCGCUGCAUUAGCUAGUUGGUAAGGUAACGGCUUACCAAGGCAACGAUGCAUAGCCGACCUGAGAGGGUGAUCGGCCACACUGGAACUGAGACACGGUCCAGACUCCUACGGGAGGCAGCAGUAGGGAAUCUUCCGCAAUGGGCGAAAGCCUGACGGAGCAACGCCGCGUGAGUGAUGAAGGUCUUCGGAUCGUAAAACUCUGUUAUUAGGGAAGAACAUAUGUGUAAGUAACUGUGCACAUCUUGACGGUACCUAAUCAGAAAGCCACGGCUAACUACGUGCCAGCAGCCGCGGUAAUACGUAGGUGGCAAGCGUUAUCCGGAAUUAUUGGGCGUAAAGCGCGCGUAGGCGGUUUUUUAAGUCUGAUGUGAAAGCCCACGGCUCAACCGUGGAGGGUCAUUGGAAACUGGAAAACUUGAGUGCAGAAGAGGAAAGUGGAAUUCCAUGUGUAGCGGUGAAAUGCGCAGAGAUAUGGAGGAACACCAGUGGCGAAGGCGACUUUCUGGUCUGUAACUGACGCUGAUGUGCGAAAGCGUGGGGAUCAAACAGGAUUAGAUACCCUGGUAGUCCACGCCGUAAACGAUGAGUGCUAAGUGUUAGGGGGUUUCCGCCCCUUAGUGCUGCAGCUAACGCAUUAAGCACUCCGCCUGGGGAGUACGACCGCAAGGUUGAAACUCAAGGAAUUGACGGGACCCGCACAAGCGGUGGAGCAUGUGGUUUAAUUCGAAGCAACGCGAAGAACCUUACCAAAUCUUGACAUCCUUUGACAACUCUAGAGAUAGAGCCUUCCCCUUCGGGGGACAAAGUGACAGGUGGUGCAUGGUUGUCGUCAGCUCGUGUCGUGAGAUGUUGGGUUAAGUCCCGCAACGAGCGCAACCCUUAAGCUUAGUUGCCAUCAUUAAGUUGGGCACUCUAAGUUGACUGCCGGUGACAAACCGGAGGAAGGUGGGGAUGACGUCAAAUCAUCAUGCCCCUUAUGAUUUGGGCUACACACGUGCUACAAUGGACAAUACAAAGGGCAGCGAAACCGCGAGGUCAAGCAAAUCCCAUAAAGUUGUUCUCAGUUCGGAUUGUAGUCUGCAACUCGACUACAUGAAGCUGGAAUCGCUAGUAAUCGUAGAUCAGCAUGCUACGGUGAAUACGUUCCCGGGUCUUGUACACACCGCCCGUCACACCACGAGAGUUUGUAACACCCGAAGCCGGUGGAGUAACCUUUUAGGAGCUAGCCGUCGAAGGUGGGACAAAUGAUUGGGGUGAAGUCGUAACAAGGUAGCCGUAUCGGAAGGUGCGGCUGGAUCACC